rnacentral:ncRNA from 1 species
UUAAUGGCAGAGAAGGGAAUUAUGUAAAGGGCGAUAAUCGGCGCAGAGAGUCGGCAGAUGGUGUAAGCCGGCGGGAACCGUCUUCGAAGAUACCUCCCGGAGCUGCAGGGCUGAACGGAUUUUUUCAGUAAGUCCUGUCGUGAGCGCACGUUAUAGCGCAGGGGUAUUUUUUGUACCCGUAAGGCCAUGCUCGUGAGAGUAUGGUAAAUUGAGGUGGUACCGCGAAAGAAGAUUUUCGCCCUCUGC